UACGUAGGGGGCGAGCGUUGUCCGGAUUCAUUGGGCGUAAAGCGCGCGUAGGCGGUUCGGAAAGUCGGAUGUGAAAACCCGGAGCUCAACUCCGGGCCUGCAUCCGAUACUCCCGGACUAGAGGUAGGUAGGGGAGAUCGGAAUUCCUGGUGUAGCGGUGAAAUGCGUAGAUAUCGGAAGGAACGCCGGUGGCGAAAGCGACGUGCUGGACCUCUACUGACGCUGAGGCGCGAAAGCCAGGGGAGCAAACGGG
rnacentral:rRNA from 1 species